GACUCCGUAGCUCAGUUGGUAGAGCAAAUGACUCUUAAUCAUUGGGUCGAGGGUUCGAGCCCCUCCGGGGUCACCA
rnacentral:tRNA from 4 species